UGGGGAAUAUUGCACAAUGGGGGAAACCCUGAUGCAGCGACGCCGCGUGAGCGAAGAAGGUUUUCGAAUCGUAAAGUUCUGUCCUAUGAGAAGAUAAUGACGGUAUCAUAGGAGGAAGCCCCGGCUAAAUACGUGCCAGCAGCCGCGGUAAUACGUAUGGGGCGAGCGUUGUCCGGAAUUAUUGGGCGUAAAGGGUACGUAGGCGGUCUAUUAAGUCAGGUGUGAAAGCGUGAGGCUUAACCUCAUUAAGCACUUGAAACUGAUAGACUUGAGUGAAGGAGAGGAAAGUGGAAUUCCUAAUGUAGCGGUGAAAUGCUUAGAUAUUAGGAGGAAUACCGGUGGCGAAGGCGACUUUCUGGACUUUUACUGACGCUCAGGUACGAAAGCGUGGGGAGCAAACAGG
rnacentral:rRNA from 1 species